UAAUUGUUAAUAUAGAAGCGUGCGCUUUCCAACUGAGAAUGGUCUUUGAUGUCAUUCAAUGAAAAUUGACAAAUAUGUGCAUUAAAGUUAUUAAACAACACCAGGAUUUUUGGUUGUGAAAUAAAUUUUGUAAAGUUGUAACGAAAAUUACCAAAGAUUUAAAUUGCAGUCUGCGAAUCUAUAAAAGGACUUGAUACUGGAAAUGAAAAUUUAAGAUUGAAAAGUUGGUAUUUGUAAACUAUGUAAAAUAACGCCCAGACGUCGUCAUGAGAAGCUUUAAAGAAGAGUGACUUUACAGAGAUGAGCUUUAUAAAUAGAAAAGGAGCUUCUAUCAAUAGGAUAUUUCUUCAGCAACCGGUUAACGGCGUCUCCAGGAUAAACAUGUAAAGAAGUUUGGAAAAACAAAGAAGUCAUUAGUUAAUUGUAAGUAAGUCGUCAUAAGCGCGUUGGAUUUUCUUGGCGGUAUAAUAACAGGAACAAAGAAGAAUGGGAAAUUGGCUUAUUGGUCUCAUGAAUCCCUUUCUGCUUUAUACAAGUCAUAUACAUGUCAGCAUAGUUGAUGUACCACUCAACUCUAAUCAGAACAAGUUUUCUUAUACUAUUACUUCGAUGUUUACAACUUAAAAAAUAGAAGAAAUUUUUACCAAGCUAUAUUAACUUACUCGACAUCAUGAUGAAGUUUGCCUUAGCAAACAGCUCAAAAUGUGGCUCAAUUUCUACAUUCUAGCAUAAAUCAAGGUUAAAAAAUUCCAAAAACCAGCAUAGGGUUAAGCUAUAAAACUUCCUUUUUUUGCUCGGCAGAUCAUGGUUGAUGUUGAAACAAUUUCUAGAUGCAUGCAAGACCAUAUUUCAAAGUGGUUGCAAAGUUUAUUGUAUGUUAUGUAAGAACUAAUCCUUUGGUAGUUAGUCAUAAACUGGUACCAAAUGCCAGUCCUAGUCGAAUGAAUGCCAUUACCAUACAUACUCGUAUUAUGGUAGAAAAUCA